GAUCAACGCUGGCGGCGUGCCUAAUACAUGCAAGUCGAGCGAACGGACGAGAAGCUUGCUUCUCUGAUGUUAGCGGCGGACGGGUGAGUAACACGUGGAUAACCUACCUAUAAGACUGGGAUAACUUCGGGAAACCGGAGCUAAUACCGGAUGAUAUUUUGAACCGCAUGGUUCAAAAGUGAAAGACGGUCUUGCUGUCACUUAUAGAUGGAUCCGCGCUGCAUUAGCUAGUUGGUAAGGUAACGGCUUACCAAGGCAACGAUGCAUAGCCGACCUGAGAGGGUGAUCGGCCACACUGGAACUGAGACACGGUCCAGACUCCUACGGGAGGCAGCAGUAGGGAAUCUUCCGCAAUGGGCGAAAGCCUGACGGAGCAACGCCGCGUGAGUGAUGAAGGUCUUCGGAUCGUAAAACUCUGUUAUUAGGGAAGAACAUAUGUGUAAGUAACUGUGCACAUCUUGACGGUACCUAAUCAGAAAGCCACGGCUAACUACGUG
rnacentral:rRNA from 1 species